rnacentral:rRNA from 1 species
GAUGAACGCUAGCUACAGGCUUAACACAUGCAAGUCGAGGGGAAACGACAUCGAAAGCUUGCUUUUGAUGGGCGUCGACCGGCGCACGGGUGAGUAACGCGUAUCCAACCUGCCCACCACUUGGGGAUAACCUUGCGAAAGUAAGACUAAUACCCGAUGAUAUCCCUAGAGGGCAUCUGACGAUGAUUAAAGGUUACGGUGACGGAUGGGGAUGCGUCUGAUUAGCUUGUUGGCGGGGUAACGGCCCACCAAGGCGACGAUCAGUAGGGGUUCUGAGAGGAAGGUCCCCCACAUUGGAACUGAGACACGGUCCAAACUCCUACGGGAGGCAGCAGUGAGGAAUAUUGGUCAAUGGCCGCGAGGCUGAACCAGCCAAGUAGCGUGCAGGAAGACGGCCCUAUGGGUUGUAAACUGCUUUUGCAGGGGAAUAAAGUAUGCCACGUGUGGUGUUUUGCAUGUACCCUGCGAAUAAGGAUCGGCUAAUUCCGUG